rnacentral:rRNA from 1 species
AGUACGGCGAGUGAAGCGGCAACAGCUCAAAUUUGAAAUCUGGCUCUCGGGCCCGAGUUGUAAUUUGUAGAGGAUGCUUUUGGCAAGGUGCCUUCCGAGUUCCCUGGAACGGGACGCCAUAGAGGGUGAGAGCCCCGUCUGGUUGGACACCGAGCCUCUGUAAAGCUCCUUCGACGAGUCGAGUAGUUUGGGAAUGCUGCUCUAAAUGGGAGGUAUAUGUCUUCUAAAGCUAAAUACUGGCCAGAGACCGAUAGCGCACAAGUAGAGUGAUCGAAAGAUGAAAAGCACUUUGAAAAGAGAGUUAAAAAGCACGUGAAAUUGUUGAAAGGGAAGCGCUUAUGACCAGACUUGGGCUUGGUUGAUCAUCCGGCGUUCUCGCCGGUGCACUCUUCCAGUUCAGGCCAGCAUCAGUUUGCCUCGGGGGAUAAAAGUAGCGGGAAUGUGGCUCCUCCGGGAGUGUUAUAGCCCGCUGCAUAAUACCCUGUGGCAGACUGAGGACCGCGCUUCGUGCAAGGAUGCUGGCGUAAUGGUCAUCAGCGACCCGUCUUGAAACACGGACCAAGGAGUCGUCUUCGUAUGCGAGUGUUCGGGUGUCAAACCCCUACGCGUAAUGAAAGUGAACGCAGGUGAGAGCUUCGGCGCAUCAUCGACCGAUCCUGAUGUUCUCGGAUGGAUUUGAGUAAGAGCAUACGGGGCCGGACCCGAAAGAAGGUGAACUAUGCCUGUGUAGGGUGAAGCCAGAGGAAACUCUGGUGGAGGCUCGCAGCGGUUCUGACGUGCAAAUCGAUCGUCAAACAUGGGCAUG